rnacentral:rRNA from 1 species
CUCAACGGAUAAAAGGUACUCCGGGGAUAACAGGCUUAUCGCGCCCAAGCGCUCAUAGCGACGGCGCGGUUUGGCACCUCGAUGUCGGCUCAUCACAUCCUGGGGCUGCAGAAGGUCCCAAGGGUUGGGCUGUUCGCCCAUUAAAGUGGUACGUGAGCUGGGUUUAGAACGUCGUAAGACAGUUCGGUCCCUAUCUUUUACGGGCGUAGGAAAUUUGAGUGGAGCUGCCGCUAGUAUGAGAAGACCGUGGUGGACGAACCUCUGGUGCACCAGUUGUCACGCCUGUGGCAUCGCUGGGUAGCUAUGUUCGGAAAGGAUAAAUGCUGAAAGCAUCUAAGCAUGAAGCCUUCCUCAAGAUGAGAUUUCCCACAGAGUUAAUCUGGUAAGACCCCUUGUAGAUAACGAGGUUGAUAGGCCAAAUGUGUAAGCACGGUGACGUGUUUAGCUAACUGGUACUAAUUGGUCGAGGGCUUAACUUAUUU